rnacentral:rRNA from 1 species
GAUGAACGCUGGCGGCGUGCCUAAUACAUGCAAGUCGAACGAAACUUCUUUAUCACCGAGUGCUUGCACUCACCGAUAAAGAGUUGAGUGGCGAACGGGUGAGUAACACGUGGGCAACCUGCCCAAAAGAGGGGGAUAACACUUGGAAACAGGUGCUAAUACCGCAUAACCAUAGUUACCGCAUGGUAACUAUGUAAAAGGUGGCUAUACUACCGCUUUUGGAUGGGCCCGCGGCGCAUUAGCUAGUUGGUAGGGUAAAGGCUUACCAAGGCAAUGAUGCGUAGCCGAAUUGAGAGGUUGAUCGGCCACAUUGGAACUGGAACACGGCCCAAACUCCUACGGGAGGCAGCAGUAGGGAAUCUUCCACAAUGGGCGAAAGCCUGAUGGAGCAACGCCGCGUGGGUGAAGAAGGUCUUCGAUCGUAAAACCCUGUUGUUAGAGAAGAAAGUGCGUGAGAGUAACUGUUCACGUUUCGACGGUAUCUAACCAGAAAGCCACGGCUAACUACGUG